rnacentral:rRNA from 1 species
UACGAAGGGGGCUAGCGUUGCUCGGAAUCACUGGGCGUAAAGGGUGCGUAGGCGGGUCUUUUAAGUCAGGGGUGAAAUCCUGGAGCUCAACUCCAGAACUGCCUUUGAUACUGAAGAUCUUGAGUUCGGGAGAGGUGAGUGGAACUGCGAGUGUAGAGGUGAAAUUCGUAGAUAUUCGCAAGAACACCAGUGGCGAAGGCGGCUCACUGGUCCGGUUCUGACGCUGAGGCGCGAAAGCGUGGGGAGCAAACAGG